rnacentral:rRNA from 1 species
GAGACUCUGUGCGCGUGCAUAUCAAUAAGCGGAGGAAAAGAAACUAACAAGGAUUCCCUUAGUAACGGCGAGUGAAGCGGGAGGAGCUCAAAUUUGAAAUCUUCAAGGUUCUACCUUGACGAAUUGUAGUUUAAAGAAGUGUUUUCUGUUAGAUGAGUAGCAAAAGUUCCUUGGAAUGGGACAUCAUAGAGGGUGAGAAUCCCGUAUUUGGUUAUUCAUUCUAGCUUUGUGAUACACUUUCAAAGAGUCGGAUUGUUUGGGAAUGCAGUCCAAAAUGGGUGGUAAAUUUCAUCUAAAGCUAAAUAUUGGCGAGAGACCGAUAGCGAACAAGUACCGUGAGGGAAAGAUGAAAAGAACUUUGAAAAGAGAGUUAAACAGUACGUGAAAUUGUCAAAAGGGAAGCGUUUGACACCAGUGUUGUUUUUCCGAAAAUCAAUUAAGAAUGAGUUGAUUUUGUGUUGUAUUGACCUUAUCAGCUUUCUUCACUCUUUUCUUGCGUCUUUUUAAUGCACUUUUCGGUUAACAAGUCAACAUCAAUUUCUUUUGUUGUAAAAGAGUCAUUGGAAGGUGGCUUUCUCUUCGGAGAAAGUGUUUAUAGCCCUUAUACUCUACAAUCGGAGAGACUGAGGUCUGCAGCGUAGAUCCUUCGGGGUUAGAUACAUUUGUGCUAAGCUAGCAGCUUUUCAUAGACAACUUGUUGAUCUAUGUUUAGUCAUUGGGACUUACCCGCUUAGUGCUAUUUUACCUACGCUUAGGAUGUUGACUGAUAUGUAGUCGUA